rnacentral:rRNA from 1 species
GACGAACGCUGGCGGCGUGCUUAACACAUGCAAGUCGAACGGAAAGGCCCUGCUUUUGUGGGGUGCUCGAGUGGCGAACGGGUGAGUAACACGUGAGUAACCUGCCCUUGACUUUGGGAUAACUUCAGGAAACUGGGGCUAAUACCGGAUAGGAGCUCCUGCUGCAUGGUGGGGGCUGGAAAGUUUCGGCGGUUGGGGAUGGACUCGCGGCUUAUCAGCUUGUUGGUGGGGUAGUGGCUUACCAAGGCUUUGCCGGCUAGCCGACCUGAGAGGGUGACCGGCCACAUUGGGACUGGGAUACGGCACAGACUCCUACGGGAGGCGACAGUGAGGAAUGGUGCACAGUGGGCGGAAGGCUAAUACAGCAACGCCGCGUGCGGGAUGACGGCCUUCGGGUUGUAAACCGCUUUCGCCUGUGACGAAGCGAGAGUGACGGUAAUGGGUAAAGAAGCACCGGCUAACUACGUG